GUACUUUCGAGGACAUCCAAUAAAAUUCGAACAAUACAGAGAAGAUUAGCACAGCUCAUGUGCAAGGAUCAUAGGAAGAUCUAGCAUUUAAAUUCUAU